AUCACAUUGAAACACCUGUUCCCAUAUGAUCACCAAAGUUCAGCAACACUGAGCCUGGUCAGUACCUAAAUGAGUGACCACUUGGGAAUACCAGGUGCUGUAA